GAUGAACGCUGGCGGCGUGCCUAAUACAUGCAAGUCGAGCGAACAGAUAAGGAGCUUGCUCCUUUGACGUUAGCGGCGGACGGGUGAGUAACACGUGGGUAACCUACCUAUAAGACUGGGAUAACUUCGGGAAACCGGAGCUAAUACCGGAUAACAUUUGGAACCGCAUGGUUCUAAAGUGAAAGAUGGUUUUGCUAUCACUUAUAGAUGGACCCGCGCCGUAUUAGCUAGUUGGUAAGGUAACGGCUUACCAAGGCGACGAUACGUAGCCGACCUGAGAGGGUGAUCGGCCACACUAGUACUGAGACACGGUCCAGACUCCUACGGGAGGCAGCAGUAGGGAAUCUUCCGCAAUGGGCGAAAGCCUGACGGAGCAACGCCGCGUGAGUGAUGAAGGGUUUCGGCUCGUAAAACUCUGUUAUUAGGGAAGAACAAAUGUGUAAGUAACUGUGCACGUCUUGACGGUACCUAAUCAGAAAGCCACGGCUAACUACGUG
rnacentral:rRNA from 1 species